GAAUUUUAUAUAAAUUUGUUAAAUAUUUUAGAUUUAAAUUUGAGUAAAAAAUUUAUAUUUAGUUGGGAGGAUGAUUAAAUUAUAAAAACUUUAAUUAAUAUUAGGAUAUUGAUAAAUAAUAAAAAAGAGUUAUUUAUAAAUUGUAAAAGAGUUAAUUACCUUAGGGAUAACAGCGUAAUAUUUUUGAAGAGUUCAUAUUGAUAAAAAUGUUUGC
rnacentral:rRNA from 1 species